AACGAACGCUGGCGGCAUGCCUAACACAUGCAAGUCGAACGAGACCUUCGGGUCUAGUGGCGCACGGGUGCGUAACGCGUGGGAAUCUACCCUCAGGUUCGGAAUAACUCAGAGAAAUUUGUGCUAAUACCGGAUGAUGACGUAAGUCCAAAGAUUUAUCGCCUGAGGAUGAGCCCGCGUAGGAUUAGGUAGUUGGUGAGGUAAAGGCUCACCAAGCCGACGAUCCUUAGCUGGUCUGAGAGGAUGAUCAGCCACACUGGGACUGAGACACGGCCCAGACUCCUACGGGAGGCAGCAGUGGGGAAUAUUGGACAAUGGGCGAAAGCCUGAUCCAGCAAUGCCGCGUGAGUGAUGAAGGCCUUAGGGUUGUAAAGCUCUUUUACCCGGGAUGAUAAUGACAGUACCGGGAGAAUAAGCUCCGGCUAACUCCGUG
rnacentral:rRNA from 1 species